CCCUGGCUCAGGACGAACGCGGGCGGCGUGCCUAAUACAUGCAAGUCGAGCGGACUUGAUGAAGUGCUUGCACUUCUGAUAGUUAGCGGCGGACGGGUGAGUAACACGUGGGUAACCUGCCUUUAAGACUGGGAUAACAUUCGGAAACGGAUGCUAAUACCGGAUAGGCGAUUUGAUCGCAUGAUCGAAUCGAGAAAGAUGGAGCAAUCUAUCACUUAGAGAUGGACCCGCGGCGCAUUAGCUAGUUGGUGAGGUAACGGCUCACCAAGGCGACGAUGCGUAGCCGACCUGAGAGGGUGAUCGGCCACACUGGGACUGAGACACGGCCCAGACUCCUACGGGAGGCAGCAGUAGGGAAUCUUCCGCAAUGGACGAAAGUCUGACGGAGCAACGCCGCGUGAGUGAUGAAGGUUUUCGGAUCGUAAAGCUCUGUUGCCAGGGAAGAACGCUUGGGAUAGUAACUGCUCCCAAGGUGACGGUACCUGAGAAGAAAGCCCCGGCUAACU
rnacentral:rRNA from 1 species